GACGAACGCUGGCGGCGUGCUUAACACAUGCAAGUCGAACGGAAAGGCCCUGCUUUUGUGGGGUGCUCGAGUGGCGAACGGGUGAGUAACACGUGAGUAACCUGCCCUUGACUUUGGGAUAACUUCAGGAAACUGGGGCUAAUACCGGAUAGGAGCUCCUGCUGCAUGGUGGGGGUUGGAAAGUUUCGGCGGUUGGGGAUGGACUCGCGGCUUAUCAGCUUGUUGGUGGGGUAGGCGCUUACCAAGGCUUUGACGGGUAGCCGGCCUGAGAGGGUGACCGGCCACAUUGGGACUGAGAUACGGCCCAGACUCCUACGGGAGGCAGCAGUGGGGAAUAUUGCACAAUGGGCGGAAGCCUGAUGCAGCAACGCCGCGUGCGGGAUGACGGCCUUCGGGUUGUAAACCGCUUUCGCCUGUGACGAAGCGUGAGUGACGGUAAUGGGUAAAGAAGCACCGGCUAACUACGUG
rnacentral:rRNA from 1 species